AGGGAUCAUUAAAGAGUUCUAUAACUCCCAAAACCCAUGUGAACAUACCCUACGUUGCCUCGGCAGGUCGCGUCUACCUCGUAGCGCCCUACCCUGUAGGGCCUACCCGGCAGACCCGGGUAAGCCUGCCGGCGGCCCACGAAACUCUGUUUAAUAUUGAAUUCUGAACCUAUAACUAAAUAAGUUAAAACUUUCAACAACGGAUCUCUUGGUUCUGGCAUCGAUGAAGAACGCAGCGAAAUGCGAUAAGUAAUGUGAAUUGCAGAAUUCAGUGAAUCAUCGAAUCUUUGAACGCACAUUGCGCCCAUUAGUAUUCUAGUGGGCAUGCCUGUUCGAGCGUCAUUUCAACCCUUAAGCCUCUGUUGCUUAGUGUUGGGAGCCUACGGUAUAGUAGCUCCUCAAAGUUAGUGGCGGAGUCGGUUCACACUCUAGACGUAGUAGAUUCUAUCUCGCCUAUUAGUUGGACCGGUCCCUUGCCGUAAAACCCCCUAAUUUUUAAAGGUUGACCUCGGAUCAGGUAGGAAUACCCGCUGAACUUAAGCAUAUCAAUAGCCGGGAGGAAA
rnacentral:rRNA from 1 species